AUGGAAAUAGAUACUAUCAAUAAAUAUUUGUAUUAUCUCCAAAAUAAUACCAGUGAUAUCUCGGAUAUUAAUCACUUAAAAACACUAAAAUUUUUAGUAAAUUCUGGUGUUGAUAUUAUGAAUUAUGCCAGGUUAAUUUUAAAAAAAUCAUGUUAUUUAGGUCAUUUGACUGUUUUGAAAUAUUUGAAAAACAGAACAUGUUGA
rnacentral:sRNA from 1 species